UACGGGGGGGGCAAGCGUUGUUCGGAAUUACUGGGCGUAAAGGGUCUGUAGGUGGCUUGCUAAGUCAGACGUGAAAUCCCUCAGCUUAACUGGGGAACUGCGUGUGAUACUGGAUGGCUUGGAUUUGGGAGAGGGAUGCGGAAUUCCAGGUGUAGCGGUGAAAUGCGUAGAUAUCAUGAGGAAUACCAGAGGCGAAGGCGGCUACCUGGACAAUUGCUGACGCUCAGGCACGAAAGCGUGGGGAGCAAAAGGG
rnacentral:rRNA from 1 species